GCCCGUUUACCUACCGUUGGAACCGCGAUGCCCCGUUCCCUGGCCGCGGCCGCUUCUCCAGGACCCGCGGCGACGGCAAGAGGGCGAGAACUGAGGCCCCAAGUGGCUCCGCGGCCGAGAAGCCUCUUCCUGGGGCGGCCGCUGACGGGAGGUUAAAGCUACGGCUGUGGCGCGGGGCCAGCCCGGAUCUGCUGAAUACAGACAUUUUUGAUUGUCACCACUGGAGAGGUGCUAUUGGCUGGUGGGAGAAGGUCAAGGAUGCUGGUAAACAUCCUUUACGGCACAGGACAGCCCCUACAGCAAAGAACAGCAAUUCUGUUUGUUACAGAGAUGAGAGAAUACCUCACUAAAAGA
rnacentral:lncRNA from 10 species